GAUGAACGCUGGCGGCGUGCCUAAUACAUGCAAGUCGAGCGAACGGACGAGAAGCUUGCUUCUCUGAUGUUAGCGGCGGACGGGUGAGUAACACGUGGAUAACCUACCUAUAAGACUGGGAUAACUUCGGGAAACCGGAGCUAAUACCGGAUGAUAUUUUGAACCGCAUGGUUCAAAAGUGAAAGACGGUCUUGCUUUCACUUAUAGAUGGAUCCGCUGUGGAUUAGCUAGUUGCUAAGGUAACGGCUUACGAAGGCAACGAUGCAUAGCCGAGCGGAGACGGUGAGCCGGCACACUGGGACUGAGACACGCUCCAGAAUCCUACGGGAGGCAGCAGUCGGGAAUCUUGCACCAUGGGCGAAUACCUGACGGUGCACCGCCGCGUGAGUGAUGAAGGUCUUCUGAUGGUAAACCUCUGUUAUUAGGGAAGAACAUAUGUGUAAGUAACUGUGCACAUCGUGACGGUACCUAAUCAGAAAGCCACGGCUAACUACGUG
rnacentral:rRNA from 1 species